rnacentral:rRNA from 1 species
UGCUACCGGACCUAGCGGCGGACGGGUGAGUAAUGCUUAGGAAUCUGCCUAUUAGUGGGGGACAACAUCUCGAAAGGGAUGCUAAUACCGCAUACGUCCUACGGGAGAAAGCAGGGGAUCUUCGGACCUUGCGCUAAUAGAUGAGCCUAAGUCGGAUUAGCUAGUUGGUGGGGUAAAGGCCUACCAAGGCGACGAUCUGUAGCGGGUCUGAGAGGAUGAUCCGCCACACUGGGACUGAGACACGGCCCAGACUCCUACGGGAGGCAGCAGUG